rnacentral:rRNA from 1 species
AUGAUGACCCGCUUCUCUGAUCUCAUAAAAGAUCAUUCCCUAGAUUUUUUGUGCUUGCAAGAAACUAUGAAGAAGAAAUUCUCUUCUAGUUUUUUUAGAAAUAUUGAUCCUUAUAAAACCUUUGAGUGGAACUGGAUUCCCUCAAUUGGUAAAUUAGGAGGUAUGCUUUGUGGGGUGAAAAAGGAAAAGCUGGAAAUAGUUGCUUGGUCUAUGGGUAAAUAUAUCCUACAAGUGACCAUGUUUGAUGUGGACAAGAAAUGUGUUUGGGCUCUGCUUAAUGUUUAUGGGGCUGCCCAUGAUGAACAGAAGGAAGAAUUCCUUUCUGAGCUGGCCAAUUUUUGUAGUCACCUGACUAUACCUUACAUAAUUGGGGGUGAUUUUAAUAUCUUAAGACAUUGUGGAGAGAAAAAUAAAAAAAUGGUGGCCUCACAAUAUACAGAUAGAUUCAAUGCCAUCAUUAACACUAUGUGUUUGCGAGAGAUUUAUGUUGAGGGGGGAUUUACUUGGUCUAACAAUCAAGCCCACCCUACUCUAGAAAAACUAGAUAGGAUCCUGAUGAAUAGUGAGUGGGAAGACCUAUUCCCUUUGGUCACUACCAAAAAGCUGGUUAGAGACAUAUCAUACCAUAACCCUCUUCUGUUGUCCACCAAUAGUGCACGUCCCCAAGCACCUAAACCUAGAGAGUCUAGGUUCAAGAUGAGCUAG